rnacentral:rRNA from 1 species
ACUCCUACGGGAGGCAGCAGUGGGGAAUAUUGCACAAUGGGCGCAAGCCUGAUGCAGCAACGCCGUGUGAGUGAAGAAGGUUUUCGGAUCGUAAAACUCUGUCCUAAGGGAAGAAACAAAUGACGGUACCUUAGGAGGAAGCCCCGGCUAACUACGUGCCAGCAGCCGCGGUAAUACGUAGGGGGCAAGCGUUAUCCGGAAUCACUGGGCGUAAAGGGUGCGUAGGCGGCUUAGCAAGCCAGGGGUGAAAGGCAUUGGCUCAACCAAUGUAAGCCUUUGGAACUGUUAAGCUUGAGUGCAGGAGAGGUAAGUGGAAUUCCUAGUGUAGAGGUGAAAUUCGUAGAUAUUAGGAGGAACACCAGUGGCGAAGGCGACUUACUGGACUGUAACUGACGCUGAUGCACGAAAGCGGUGGGUAGCGAAACAGGAUUAGAUACCCUGGUAGCACAGAG